GUUUGUGCGCACAGCGACGCCACUUUGUAGCCCGUUUCCAACUGCAGUAGUCCAGCGUACACUCGAUGCUAUGUCUUUAGUGCCCACUGAGCCGUGGGCGGGGCCUAGCAUAGCCCGUCGCUAAGGGUGGCCUUUUGUGGCUGGAGGAAGACCAAGACACAGCAUGGUGGAAGCAAGAUGCAAGAGAUUUCCCGCACUCCCUUAACCCAUGGCCUCUCCCAGAACCUUUAAAUGUUGUCCAGACUCCCGGGGAAACAUUUGCCCAGACAGCCUGGAGAAGACACAGGAAAGACAGACAACCAAAACACUUCCUGAUGAGGAGCAGCUGUGCCUACCUUCUAAUUAUUAAAAUACUCAAUAAAUAAUUAAACCUCUUGUGUGC